ACGAACGCUGGCGGCAUGCCUAACACAUGCAAGUCGAACGAUGCCUUCGGGCAUAGUGGCGCACGGGUGCGUAACGCGUGGGAAUCUGCCUUUCGGUUCGGAAUAACUCAGGGAAACUUGAGCUAAUACCGGAUAACGUCGCAAGACCAAAGAUUUAUCACCGAAAGAUGAGCCCGCGUAGGAUUAGCUAGUUGGUGAGGUAAGGGCUCACCAAGGCGACGAUCCUUAGCUGGUCUGAGAGGAUGAUCAGCCACACUGGGACUGAGACACGGCCCAGACUCCUACGGGAGGCAGCAGUGGGGAAUAUUGGACAAUGGGCGAAAGCCUGAUCCAGCAAUGCCGCGUGAGUGAUGAAGGCCUUAGGGUUGUAAAGCUCUUUUACCCGGGAAGAUAAUGACGGUACCGGGAGAAUAAGCCCCGGCUAACUCCGUG
rnacentral:rRNA from 1 species